GAUGAACGCUAGCGGCAGGCCUAACACAUGCAAGUCGAGGGGUAGCAGGAUUAAGCUUGCUUAAUUGCUGACGACCGGCGCACGGGUGCGUAACGCGUAUGCAACCUACCUUAUACUGGGGUAUAGCCCGGAGAAAUUCGGAUUAAUCCCCCAUAGUACUAAUGAAUCGCAUGGUUUAUUAGUUAAAGCAUUGCGGUAUAAGAUGGGCAUGCGUCCUAUUAGCUAGAUGGUGAGGUAACGGCUCCCAUGGCUACGAUAGGUAGGGGGCCUGGGAAGGUGGUCCCCCACACUGGUACUGAGACACGGACCAGACUCCUACGGGAGGCAGCAGUGAGGAAUAUUGGUCAAUGGGCGCAAGCCUGAACCAGCCAUGCCGCGUGCAGGAAGAAUGCCCUAUGGGUUGUAAACUGCUUUUAUUUGGGAAUAAACCUCUUUACGUGUAGAGAGCUGAAGGUACCAAAUGAAUAAGCACCGGCUAACUCCGUGCCAGCCGCCGCAGUAA
rnacentral:rRNA from 1 species